rnacentral:misc_RNA from 1 species
UUUUUUGGGAAAGAUACUAGGCUUUUUUUAGCAGUGUCUGCAUGUAUACAUUUUAGAUCAGAUUUUUGUUAUUUCUAAAGUUUUACGCAUUUUUUUAAUAUUUCUAAUAAAAUAAAGAACUAUGCACGUGCUUUUAGAUUUCCAUGAAAGAUAAAGGAACUAGCCAAGGAUGCAUUUGAUUUGUGAUCAUCAUACAGCAAGCCAUAUUCACAUUUAUACCCAAUAAGAAACGUAAGAGUUGAACUGAUGAUUCCGAUAAAAUCCGCAACCUACUGAAUGGGUCCCAUCUUGUGAAUGGUUAAGAUAAUUUACAUCAAAUAGACGAUCAACUUUCAAAUCUACACUAGGCAUUUGAUAGGUAGCUCAAUCAAACCCCACAACUCAUAAAACUCAAAUCACAAACCAAAAUCCCUAAUUCAAAAUCAGAAUCCAUAAUCCAAUGUUGCAUCGACUAAUCCAAUCUAUAGCUAAAUAUCAAAUAAAAAAUAAAUAAAAAACGAUUCACAGAUCUAAAACGAUUUCCCAACAAAAACCCAUAAUCAGAGCUCCAAUCAAGCCAGACCGUUUGAAUCAAAAAGUGACACGCAACAAAACUCGAAGAAAUACAAUCAAACAGACAAAUAAGAUAACCUACAAACACAAUAAGAAACAAGAAUGGAUUAGAAUAAAAUCGAAUUUAAUCGAUUAAGAACUCAGAGAACUUACCUUAAAAUGCAGAGGAAUAGAAAGGCUACAGAAGGACGGGUCUCUGUUCCGCGUGACGUCCGCGUGAGAGAGUG